CUGUGUAAGCAAGGGGACCCUGCCUUCGAGUGAUGCUGGGGUGAGGGAGGUCAGAAAACGCCACUAUUGAGUGCAGCAUGGCUGUCCAUGGCUCCCUGCUCUUGGGCCCAGCAUGACUACACAGCAUGUGCCCAGCCAGGACAUCCUGAAGACCAGAGAGCAGCCUGGGGCAUGAAGAUGCCCCAACACUUGUCUUUCACACCUGCUCUUCCUCAGAGCUGUCCCCUGCUCCCUUGCUGGAAAGGCCUACCACAGAGGAGUUAAGCCAGAGGUCCAGGAGCUCCGUGGGCAGAGGCUGGUGUGAGGGUGGAGCCCAAGCUGCUGCGCCAUCUGGUCUGUUUUUAUUUAACUGUAUUUAAUUUGUUUUCAAAAAAAUUAAAAGUCAAAUAUGGUUUUUAACGGUUGU
rnacentral:lncRNA from 1 species